CUAUAUAUGUAUAAAGCGCACACUAUAGUUACGAUGCUAAAUAUAUGUUCAAUUCUGUUCCCAUGAACCAAAUUGGACAAACCGAAUUAAAAAUUCUUGAAGGACACCUUAUCAAUUAACAUCAUUAUCCACAGUUAUUUGUGUCUUUGGGUGUGUGCCCUGUAUAGAGGCACACAAUAAUGGGAGUAAGGCGUUUGGAUUCGGAGGCCAUAUACUUUAUCUUUUACAGUUUUGUCAGCUAAAUCUGAUGAGCACUCAGGUUUGCCGAAAUAUUGAGGUCUAAUCUUGUUGCAGAUUUAAAUUUUCGUCAGUUUUCAUUUUACAAUUACUCUGAUACACGGUUAAUAGAAAUACUAGGUUAGACCAUGAUGUAAUCGGGCUUGCGAGAACUUUCAAUUUGAUGUCACAGAGCAUAUACAUAUAGAGGUCUAGCUAUAAGAAAGCGCUAGUGGAAAAUCUGGGACAUUACCACCACAAAUCUUCAGUGUGUAUCAACAAGACGGAUAAGUAAAUAAAUCUUCAAAAAAUUAAAUAUUUUAACGAUCAUUAAUUAGAAGACUUAGCUCAUAUACUUUUCAUUGUCAUUAAUCCAAAAUGAAAACGGCCGAGGGAACUUAUUUUGCUGCGAUAAAUUAUUCCAACAAUUGGAAAGCCAACCGUUUGCAUUUCUUUAGAUUUCUUCUUAACGAUAAUAUCUGCAAAAGAUGGAUUCAGAAUUCUCGUCGAGCCAAUUUAAGAGGUAGGUCGAGGGAGUCAUGCAACGUUAGUCUUUGACUUUGUGAUAAGCAUUUAGAGGACUGAAUAUUCAUGAGUGCUGCAUCAAAACAAAGAAAAAGAAGAUUGAUACCUAAUGCAAUUCCCACUAUGUUCGAUGUACCAAAUCCUCCCCCAAAAGUAACUCCUCAACGCCGUCUUUUUCUACGACAUAUUCAAGAUUUCUAUUCGUUUGACUUUACUUGAAAGACAUUCAGUAGAUAACAUUUGCAUGGAUGUCUCUACAGUCUCUGCACCCGGUAAAUCCAGAGAAUUUCUCUAAUACUAAAACUCAGACAACAUAUCAAUCUAAAAAAUGGGUCGAUAAAAAGAUUGCAGCAGGAAGAAAAGGCUAAACUCUUCACACCUCCGACAAAAUUGAAACGCAUAAUCUCUUCUAAACUGCAACAUUUCCUUAUAUCUAUUCAGCUCGGUGAUACAGUCGAAAAGAUCGAAUGCUCCUAUACAACUAAAUUCAAAACUGUUGCUGUCAGCGGCUACUACAAAAGUUCAUCGUACUACAGAUAUCUUUCGGCAAAGUUCAAACUACCUGCUGUUUCAUCAAUACAGGCCUGAAUAUCAAAGUUCCACAUGAAUGAGGGGUUCUGUCCUAAUUUGCUAAGGCUAUUGGCAUUGAGAUGUAACACUUUGGACGAAAAGGAUCGAGUGAGCAACUUAAUCGUAGAUGAGAUAUCAUGGAGCAAAUUUGUACAUUUUGACACUACAGAGAAUCAAGCAUUAGAAUAUUUUACUGGAUAUUGUUUUAGAAAUCUCAACAAGUUACAUGCUGCUUCUUGAGAGACAUGCAGUUAACUAGGCAUAAAGCUAACAGUGUUUACAACUGAAAAAAAUUUCAAAUAUUAAAUUUAAGAAAAAAUUUGAAAAAUUAUGUUUCAAAUAUUAUAUAUUUUUUUUUAAAUUCUGAAAGUAAAUUUAGUCUUAAAUUUCUUGGAGAAAAUUUCAAAAAUUCACAUCUGUUCACAAAAAAUUAAAUUAAACGUAGAUUAUGCGUUUUUAACGUCUUGUGGGACCUUGACUCUCAAAAUUAAAUAGUAUCUUAUUGUUUAUCUUUAUAAAUAUAAAGUAGAGUUUGUGUGUGUUUCCAUUAUGGGUGCCUACAUCGUUGAACAUAGGUGGAUGACA
rnacentral:lncRNA from 1 species